ACAGUUCGGUCCCUAUCCGUCGUGGGCGUAGGAAAUUUGAGAGGAGCUGUCCUUAGUACGAGAGGACCGGGAUGGACAUACCUCUGGUGUACCAGUUGUCGUGCCAACGGCAUAGCUGGGUAGCUAUGUGUGGACGGGAUAAGUGCUGAAAGCAUCUAAGCAUGAAGCCCCCCUCAAGAUGAGAUUUCCCAACUUCGGUUAUAAGAUCCCUCAAAGAUGAUGAGGUUAAUAGGUUCGAGGUGGAAGCAUGGUGACAUGUGGAGCUGACGAAUACUAAUCGAUCGAAGACUUAAUCAA
rnacentral:rRNA from 1 species